rnacentral:tmRNA from 1 species
GGGGGUGUUCUGGAUUCGACCCUUGGUUGGAGUGCGCCGCUGCCGUUCGAGGAUGAAGGUUGGCCUCGUUAAUCCCCCUUCAAAAAAAUAACAGGCAACUACGAAGAAAUGCCCCUCGCUGCUUAAUGCAGCGUCGUUUGUCCGGCGACACCUGCUAGCCGGAACGAACGUCGACAGCAGGCAUAGUGUGCGGAGCCACUCGCGGGCCGCAGACCGUACCUUCACCCGGGAGUAUGUUUGGGCUUAAGCGCGUGAAUUAGCGUAACCCCGACGAGAUAAAUGAUUCACUACAACGGUAGACGCGGCACGCAAAGCCCAGGGGCACGCGGGUUCAACUCCCGCCACCUCCACCA